rnacentral:rRNA from 1 species
UUAAGCGACUAAGCGUACACGGUGGAUGCCCUGGCAGUCAGAGGCGAUGAAGGACGUGCUAAUCUGCGAUAAGCGUCGGUAAGGUGAUAUGAACCGUUAUAACCGGCGAUUUCCGAAUGGGGAAACCCAGUGUGAUUCGUCACACUAUCAUUAACUGAAUCCAUAGGUUAAUGAGGCGAACCGGGGGAACUGAAACAUCUAAGUACCCCGAGGAAAAGAAAUCAACCGAGAUUCCCCCAGUAGCGGCGAGCGAACGGGGAGCAGCCCAGAGCCUGAAUCAGUGUGUGUGUUAGUGGAAGCGUCUGGAAAGGCGCGCGAUACAGGGUGACAGCCCCGUACACAAAAAUGCACAUGCUGUGAGCUCGAUGAGUAGGGCGGGACACGUGGUAUCCUGUCUGAAUAUGGGGGGACCAUCCUCCAAGGCUAAAUACUCCUGACUGACCGAUAGUGAACCAGUACCGUGAGGGAAAGGCGAAAAGAACCCCGGCGAGGGGAGUGAAAAAGAACCUGAAACCGUGUACGUACAAGCAGUGGGAGCACGCUUAGGCGUGUGACUGCGUACCUUUUGUAUAAUGGGUCAGCGACUUAUAUUCUGUAGCAAGGUUAACCGAAUAGGGGAGCCGAAGGGAAACCGAGUCUUAACUGGGCGUUAAGUUGCAGGGUAUAGACCCGAAACCCGGUGAUCUAGCCAUGGGCAGGUUGAAGGUUGGGUAACACUAACUGGAGGACCGAACCGACUAAUGUUGAAAAAUUAGCGGAUGACUUGUGGCUGGGGGUGAAAGGCCAAUCAAACCGGGAGAUAGCUGGUUCUCCCCGAAAGCUAUUUAGGUAGCGCCUCGUGAAUUCAUCUCCGGGGGUAGAGCACUGUUUCGGCAAGGGGGUCAUCCCGACUUACCAACCCGAUGCAAACUGCGAAUACCGGAGAAUGUUAUCACGGGAGACACACGGCGGGUGCUAACGUCCGUCGUGAAGAGGGAAACAACCCAGACCGCCAGCUAAGGUCCCAAAGUCAUGGUUAAGUGGGAAACGAUGUGGGAAGGCCCAGACAGCCAGGAUGUUGGCUUAGAAGCAGCCAUCAUUUAAAGAAAGCGUAAUAGCUCACUGGUCGAGUCGGCCUGCGCGGAAGAUGUAACGGGGCUAAACCAUGCACCGAAGCUGCGGCAGCGACGCUUAUGCGUUGUUGGGUAGGGGAGCGUUCUGUAAGCCUGUGAAGGUGUGCUGUGAGGCAUGCUGGAGGUAUCAGAAGUGCGAAUGCUGACAUAAGUAACGAUAAAGCGGGUGAAAAGCCCGCUCGCCGGAAGACCAAGGGUUCCUGUCCAACGUUAAUCGGGGCAGGGUGAGUCGACCCCUAAGGCGAGGCCGAAAGGCGUAGUCGAUGGGAAACAGGUUAAUAUUCCUGUACUUGGUGUUACUGCGAAGGGGGGACGGAGAAGGCUAUGUUGGCCGGGCGACGGUUGUCCCGGUUUAAGCGUGUAGGCUGGUUUUCCAGGCAAAUCCGGAAAAUCAAGGCUGAGGCGUGAUGACGAGGCACUACGGUGCUGAAGCAACAAAUGCCCUGCUUCCAGGAAAAGCCUCUAAGCAUCAGGUAACAUCAAAUCGUACCCCAAACCGACACAGGUGGUCAGGUAGAGAAUACCAAGGCGCUUGAGAGAACUCGGGUGAAGGAACUAGGCAAAAUGGUGCCGUAACUUCGGGAGAAGGCACGCUGAUAUGUAGGUGAAGUCCCUCGCGGAUGGAGCUGAAAUCAGUCGAAGAUACCAGCUGGCUGCAACUGUUUAUUAAAAACACAGCACUGUGCAAACACGAAAGUGGACGUAUACGGUGUGACGCCUGCCCGGUGCCGGAAGGUUAAUUGAUGGGGUUAGCGGUAACGCGAAGCUCUUGAUCGAAGCCCCGGUAAACGGCGGCCGUAACUAUAACGGUCCUAAGGUAGCGAAAUUCCUUGUCGGGUAAGUUCCGACCUGCACGAAUGGCGUAAUGAUGGCCAGGCUGUCUCCACCCGAGACUCAGUGAAAUUGAACUCGCUGUGAAGAUGCAGUGUACCCGCGGCAAGACGGAAAGACCCCGUGAACCUUUACUAUAGCUUGACACUGAACAUUGAGCCUUGAUGUGUAGGAUAGGUGGGAGGCUUUGAAGUGUGGACGCCAGUCUGCAUGGAGCCGACCUUGAAAUACCACCCUUUAAUGUUUGAUGUUCUAACGUUGACCCGUAAUCCGGGUUGCGGACAGUGUCUGGUGGGUAGUUUGACUGGGGCGGUCUCCUCCUAAAGAGUAACGGAGGAGCACGAAGGUUGGCUAAUCCUGGUCGGACAUCAGGAGGUUAGUGCAAUGGCAUAAGCCAGCUUGACUGCGAGCGUGACGGCGCGAGCAGGUGCGAAAGCAGGUCAUAGUGAUCCGGUGGUUCUGAAUGGAAGGGCCAUCGCUCAACGGAUAAAAGGUACUCCGGGGAUAACAGGCUGAUACCGCCCAAGAGUUCAUAUCGACGGCGGUGUUUGGCACCUCGAUGUCGGCUCAUCACAUCCUGGGGCUGAAGUAGGUCCCAAGGGUAUGGCUGUUCGCCAUUUAAAGUGGUACGCGAGCUGGGUUUAGAACGUCGUGAGACAGUUCGGUCCCUAUCUGUCGUGGGCGCUGGAGAACUGAGGGGGGCUGCUCCUAGUACGAGAGGACCGGAGUGGACGCAUCACUGGUGUUCGGGUUGUCAUGCCAAUGGCACUGCCCGGUAGCUAAAUGCGGAAGAGAUAAGUGCUGAAAGCAUCUAAGCACGAAACUUGCCCCGAGAUGAGUUCUCCCUGACUCCUUGAGAGUCCUGAAGGAACGUUGAAGACGACGACGUUGAUAGGCCGGGUGUGUAAGCGCAGCGAUGCGUUGAGCUAACCGGUACUAAUGAACCGUGAGGCUUAACCUU